rnacentral:lncRNA from 1 species
UUUGUGGCCUUCCACCGUGGUAGGCUCCGAUCGUUUGUGACUCGUACACCGACUUCACCCUAUCAUGGGGGAGUACAAAGUGCAUGCUUACACUCAGGAGGAGUUCUAUAUGCAUACAUGAUGUUGUGAAGGUAGGCAACGAGAAUGAUCAACAUCAUAUCAUUGUGAAGUUGUUCUUGAACCCCUACUCGAACUUGCAUGGUGGGAAUGACUUCACUAAGGGCAAUGGAGCCAACAUCAUAUCAUUGUGAGGCUUCAUUCUCUAGAGGCCAAAUAAGAUGGGUACUUGCUAGAGAUGCAAAUGAGUAAGCGUACUCUCUCAUUAUUAUUGAUGCUAGCCAACAUCAUAUCAUUAUGAGGUGGGCUUGGUAAUGAUGAGUCUCUCAUACCCUACUAAGAGUUUCCUCCAAAACUCUCGAAUUCCGAUGAGGGAUAUGGAAUUUACCAAAAAUAGUGGGUAGUGCUAUUUGAUUUAAAGACCCGGAUCAAAUGGCUUAAAAUCAAUCAAUUUAUAUUCGUUAUGUAUUUAUUUACCAAUAUAUUUGCAAACGCUAUUCAAAACUUGACAAAGAAAGAGCCGAAAGCUUUAGUUUCCGGACUUGGUACUACAAUCCCAUAGAUUGUCUUUAAUGGCUUGUAUAUGUACCUAAGUAGUCUCAUCCUCGCAAUCUUCCUAUUGAUAAUGUAUCAUUGGAAGAACGUGUUAGAUAAGUCUAUCAUAAAGAGGACAACACUUUUAAUGUCAUAAUUCUUCAAUUACAAAUUGUUGUAUGAAGAAGUAAGAGUUGCUUUGAACAACCCUUAGUUAACGCAAACAUUAGUGCUCGUUUCUUUGUUACAUGAACAAGGAACUUGAGAAGUAAGCACAAAGGCAUGGACACUUUAUGUGCCAUGAUUCUUCACUUACAAAUUGUUGUAUGAAGAAAUG